UUAAUUGAAACCAAAAUAGAGGUAUGUCACUGUUAAUGACAUUAAUGAAUUUUAUUCCAUUAAG
rnacentral:tRNA from 1 species